GAUGAACGCUGGCGGCGUGCCUAAUACAUGCAAGUCGAGCGAACAGAUGAGGAGCUUGCUCCUCUGACGUUAGCGGCGGACGGGUGAGUAACACGUGGAUAACCUACCUAUAAGACUUGGAUAACUUCGGGAAACCGUAGCUAAUACCGGAUAAUAUAUCGAACCGCAUGGUUCAAUAGUGAAAGACGGUUUUGCUGUCACUUAUAGAUGGAUCCGCGCCGCAUUAGCUAGUUGGUAAGGUAACGGCUUACCAAGGCAACGAUGCGUAGCCGACCUGAGAGAGUGAUCGGCCACACUGGAACGGGAACACGGUCCAGACGCCUACGGGAGGCAGCAGUAGGGAAUCUUCCGCAAUAGGCGAAAGCCUGACGGAGCAACGCAGCGUGAGUGAUGAAGGUCUUCGGAGCGUAAAACUCUGUUAUUAGGGAAGAACAAAUGUGUAAGUAACUAUGCACGUCUUGACGGUACCUAAUCAGAAAGCCACGGCUAACUACGUG
rnacentral:rRNA from 1 species